rnacentral:rRNA from 1 species
UACGAAGGGUGCAAACGUUGCUCGGAAUUAUUGGGCGUAAAGCGCACGUAGGCGGCAUUGCAAGUCGGAUGUGAAAUCCCUCGGCUCAACCAAGGAAGUGCAUCCGAAACUGCUGUGCUUGAGUACUUAAGAGGAUCGCGGAAUUCCCGGUGUAGAGGUGAAAUUCGUAGAUAUCGGGAGGAACACCAGUGGCGAAGGCGGCGAUCUGGGAAGAUACUGACGCUGAGGUGCGAAAGCGUGGGUAGCAAACAGG